ensembl:snRNA U6 U6 spliceosomal RNA
GAAGUGCUUGCUUUGACAGCUAAAACUGGAAUGAUAUGGAGAAGAUUAGCAUGGCCCCUGUGCAAGGACAACAUGCAAAUUUGUGAUGCAUUCCAUAUCUUU